AUGGCAUCUUCUUCUUCUCCGUCGUCCAUGGUGACCCAGAUAUCUCCACUGACCAACGACGUCGACGACCGUAAGAUAACAGCCGCUGGCGCGGCACUGCCAACGCCAACCACAGACAGGGUCAUGUUUGGCAUCGCAAACCUUGCGCAACUCCUGCCAACGGGCACGGUGCUGACGUACCAGGCAUUGUCCCCGUCCUUCACCAACCACGGCAAAUGCGAGACCUCCGGCUCCAACCAGUGGCUCACCGCGGCGCUGGUCGCUGUCCUCGCCGCAGUGUGCAUCUUCUUUUCCUUCACGGACAGUGUCAUUGGCCACCAUGAUGGAAAGCUGUACUACGGUGUGGCCACGACGCACGGCUUCAAUGUGUUCAACUUCUCCGACGAGGAUGAGAGGCGGGAGUGGUCCGGUCUGGACGAGUUUCGGAGGCUCCGCCUCCAGACGCUGGACUUCGUGCACGGCUUCUUCACGGCGGUGGUUUUCCUCACGGUGGCGUUCAGCGAUGUGGGACUGCAGAACUGCUUCUUCCCGGACGCCGGCAGGAACAACCAAGAGCUUCUCAAGAACCUACCUCUAGGAAUGGCGUUCCUUUCCAGCAUUGUGUUCAUCAUCUUCCCCACCAAACGGAAGGGCAUCGGAUUUAGUGACACGACUCCUCGCCAAAAGUUCGUCCAUCCCAGCUUGAAUAAAGUUUGA
rnacentral:rRNA from 1 species